AGGUGGCCUGUGAGGGUUGCUGGAGGUAUCAGAAGUGCGAAUGCUGACAUAAGUAACGAUAAAGCGGGUGAAAAGCCCGCUCGCCGGAAGACCAAGGGUUCCUGUCCAACGUUAAUCGGGGCAGGGUGAGUCGACCCCUAAGGCGAGGCCGAAAGGCGUAGUCGAUGGGAAACGGGUUAAUAUUCCCGUACUUGGUGUUACUGCGAAGGGGGGACGGAGAAGGCUAUGUUGGCCGGGCGACGGUUGUCCCGGUUUAAGCGUGUAGGUGUGUGUUCCAGGUAAAUCCGGUUCACUUUAACACUGAGGCGUGAUGACGAGGCACUACGGUGCUGAAGCAACAAAUGCCCUGCUUCCAGGAAAAGCCUCUAAGCAUCAGGUAACAUCAAAUCGUACCCCAAACCGACACAGGUGGUCAGGUAGAGAAUACCAAGGCGCUUGAGAGAACUCGGGUGAAGGAACUAGGCAAAAUGGUGCCGUAACUUCGGGAGAAGGCACGCUGACAC
rnacentral:rRNA from 1 species